UGCGCAUUAAUGUAAUACGGAAACUGAAGGCCACUGCAGAAGCACAUGUGCAGUGGCUGUCAAAUUCGGCAUUUAAAUUCGCAGACAAGAAAACAUUGUUUAAAGUCGAGCGUUUGCGGUUGCAUUUCUAAUGGUUUGACAAAUACGAACAACAAUAAUCAACCAUGGGUAUCAAAGAUUUGCAGGGGUAUUUGGAGACCCACUGCGCGGGCGCUUGCAUGUCAGUUGACCUGUUAAAAAUUUCCCGUGGAUUUAUUCCAAAAAGGCGUGGCAUGCCAAGUGGCUCGGGACGGUUUUGCCUUAUUGUAGACGCUGAGAGCUGCCUAGAUCGUCUGUAUGGCGGUUACUACUCGGACUGGGUGUGUGGUGGGCAGUGGAACCGCAUGAUAGCGUUCCUGUCAAAUUUGCAACAGGCUUGUCACAAUGCAAACCUGGAAAUGGUCGUGUUUUUUAACGGUGCUCUUGAGAGUCAAAAAAUGGACACCUGGUACACGUCUCAGGUGAACCAGAAGAAAAAAGUAAACAUGGUCUUACGGCAUAUUUAUAACCGUGGCACACCCCCUCCCAAAGUUUGGUGGAAUCCGCCAGUUUUUCUGAGUGGGGCAUUAAGGCUUGCUUUGCGGGAUUUAGGUAUCGGUGUUGCUAUGUCAAUGGAUGACCAUGAACAAGAAGUGAUAGGUUUCUGCCGAGAACACGGACUUCAAGGGAUUCUCGGGCAAAACCCAGUAUAUGUCAUCUUCAAUCCACCCAGAUACUUUUCCAGCCAAAAUCUGAAGUUGACCUACAAAGCAUCUCUGGAAACAAAAGAAUAUGUCAUGGAUGAGAUUGCAAAGGCGCUAGACUUAAAUCCAAACAGAUUUUGUCUCUUUGCUGCAUUACUAGGAAACCAUUUACUUACAGAAGAGGACCUCUAUGAUUUCUACAAAGAGUUGUUAACUCGGGCAAGUCAGGAUGCUGGGAAAACCGUUAAGCCCAUUCCUGAGAAUGUUGUGAAAGCAGUUGUGGAUUAUGUUCGCAGUAUUCCAGACAUCACCAACUUGGAUAUUGUUGGAGAGGCAGUAUUCAGGAGCACAGUUAAGGGCAACAAGACAGACCUGGUAUCCAAGCUGAGGCAGAGUGUGCAGUACUACUUCAAUGGAACAGAAGAAGGCUUCCUUAGAUACAGGCCAAGACAUGUGGCGGCUGGUUUCCAGCCCAGCCCGAUGUUAAACAUGCCUAGUGAGAUGGCUGGAUACGGAGGCCAGGGUCCAGUCAAUGGGCAGGGAGCAGCCAGACUGAGCCCAGAACUGCACAUACCUCAUCAGAAACACAAAACUCGCGGUGUUGGUGGAAAGGAGGUUGAACUGCCUCCAGUGUCAAGUGAGAUCAUGAGAAUAGCCAGUGAGCGGCACCAGAAGGGGGUCAUGUCUCCUUGGAUCUACCAAGUCCUUACACAGGCUGAGAUUAAGAUGGUGGUCUCCCUGGAGGAUGAAGCCAACCGUGAGCUGCCUACCAGUAUGGACCUGUUCCGGGCGGUCAGACAGACGACAUUCAGUGUACUGCUUAACCUCAACAAACUCAAGAUUAUACACGAUAACCAGCUUCAGGAAAAAGUGGAUGGAUCGGGUGCAGCCAAGCACCCCAACACACCUCAAGUCACCCUAAAGAACUUCGAAGUACCCAUCAAGGAGUGGGUAGUCCGUCGUGUGGGCAGCCAAAAACCCAGCUUUGAUCUGGUGAUCGCCCGGCCUGUCGAGUGGAAGACACCCAGUAUAGAGCGUAUGUGGCUGGGUCAACAGGCAGAAGAUAAGACGAGAAGAUUGCGCGCAUUUCUGACGAUAAUGCACAGCGACACCCCACUGAUGCUGAACACGAACUAUGUGCCUCAGCAUCUUCUAGUCACAUGCUGUGUUCUCAGGUACAUGUUGGAGUUUGGUAGAAUCCUACAGCGACAGGAGCUGGACGCUUUCCUUGCCAUGUCUGUAUCACCCCUGCUGCAUGACGUGCAAACCAUGCAGGACCUCAAGCUGCCGUCAGUCCAGCCCCGUGGUGUUGCUCUGGCGGCACUCUUCAUGUCUGGCAUCGAGGUGGCGCAGUUUGCCAACGACGUGUGUGGUGCGCCGGUGCCCUGGAACAUGAUCCUGCCCUGGAAUUUCUUUGACGGGAAACUGUUCCACUUCAAGCUUCUCAAGGCAUCCAACAACACCCCAUUGAUGGACAUGUGUGACGGACAGGUGGAGCAAGUGUUGAGGGUGGAGCGUCUCCGCCAGGCCAUCCUGGAGAACCUCAAGUUUGAGUUCGCCAAGCAGUACCUGCCAGGCACUGCCCUAUAUGGGGGCUACCCCAUGCCAUACGGGCAGGUACCCGGCGGGCCCUUCCCGUACCGGCCUGCGGGUAUGGGCCGCAUGCCUCCUCAGCCCCAGCCCGUGGGCCUUGGACGCGGUGGAAACAUGAACUUCAUGGGGCAGGGCAUGAUGGGACCUGGACUGAACCCACAGGGGCGCGGGCGUGGAAUUCUGGGUUACAAGCAUCGAAACCCAGGACGGUCCCCUGUAGAUGGUAGAGGUGGUCAGCUGGAAAUAGCUGGGGUGGUUGUGGGCAGCUGGGGACCAAACCUGUCAGCCGCAUCUCGAGGGAGCAGGGGCAAUAACUCCAUCCAGCCGAGGGUCAUGUCAGUUGGUGGGCCACGAAGGGGUGCUGGGCGUGCCAUGUUCUACAGAGGGGGCAUGAACAGAGGGGCCAUGAGGGGUGGACGUGGGGGCAUGCCUAUGCCCUUCAUGAGAAUACCUGAAAGGCCCUACUUUGCGCGGAUGCCGCGGGGUCAGAUGGCACGAGGAGUUGUGAGGGGAAUUAGACGACCGUUCGUGCGUGCCCGUCCAAAACCAGGAGGGAAGAAAAAGACUGGAAAAGGAAGGGGCAUGACCAUCGACACUGAUGGAAUGCCAAAAUCUGGAUCCCAAGAUGAGGACGACGAUGGUGAAAAUGAAGACGAUGAGAAUUUUGAGGAUGCCGAGGACGAGGGAGAGGAUGAUAAUGGUGCAAUAGGUGAGUGAAACAGGGUUGGUACAGAUUACUAGAAAGAUAAUUGAGGGAGAGGAUAAUAAUGGUGCAAUAGGUGAGUGAAACAUGGUUGGUACAGAUUACUGGAAAGAUAAUUGAGGGAGAGGAUGAUAAUGGUGCAAUAGGUGAGUGAAACGUGGUUGGUACAGAUUACUGGAAAGAUAAUUGAGGGAGAGGAUGAUAAUGGUGCAAUAGGUGAGUGAAACAUGGUUGGUACAGAUUACUGGAAAGAUAUUUGAGGGAGAGGAUGAUAAUGGUGCAAUAGGUGAGUGAAACAGGGUUGGUACAGAUUACUGGAAAGAUAAUUGAGGGAGAGGAUGAUAAUGGUGCAAUAGGUGAGUGAAACAUGGUUGGUACAGAUUACUGGAAAGAUAAUUGAGGGAGAGGAUGAUAAUGGUGCAAUAGGCAAGCGGCUCCUACAGAAUGGAAUUCAGAGUCCAGACAGUGGUAUCCACGGCGAUAAGUCGGCCACCGAAAUCACCCUGUCUGCAUAAUAUGUCCUGAAAGGCCAGGAACAACAAAGGCGCUGCCCUAUGCCCGUGGUCUUUGUGUUUCAAUUAAAGGGGAGUAACUCAGGGGUGUGUUUUGUUUCAAGCUUAGAAAAUGUAAGUUUUGUGUUUGGUAAAUUGUCCUUGAUAUUAUUUUUUUGUCUGGUAAUAAAUAUAUAAAAAUAUAAACUAUUAAUGGUUAAUAUAACAUGAAUAAUUCUAUGGUGAUUUUAAUUUAUAGAUGUUAAACAAGUGCUAUAAAAUUACUUGAAGUGAAAAAUCGUUUUUUAAAGGGUUCUUAUUAAUAAUGUAGCACUCGAGUUACUUCCCUUAGCAACGUGUUCAUAUACAUGAGAUGUCAUAUUGCAUUUUAAUGCCAAAUGGGUUACUAUGAAAACAGUUUUAUUGAUGUGAAAUGUGUGUGAAAUAUAUUGAUGAAUGUUUUAUAGUGUAGCGAAAUGGGUAAAAGUAUAUCUACAUUAUAAGUAAGUAAAGGACCUUGUAAAACUGUUUGUAUGGUAUAUGAAAGGAAUUCAUGAUUAUUUGCUAGGGAUCCGUUGAAAAGUGCUAAGAUUUUUUCCAUUUGUUAUUUGUUCCCUUGCAAGCAAUCAUUACUGUAUGUGUUUGUUUUGAUCAUAUUUUAUACAAAUCUAUUAUUUUUUAUACAUUGAUGAUUGUAUGUUUCGUUGUUUUGCUAUUGUACUGUUACCAGCAGAUUGUGACUUUACACACGAUAGAUGUUUUAUUGACAGGUUCAUAGUAUGGGUUCUAUUUCUGGGAGACUGUCUCACAGGGAUGAAGAGAUGAGAGAAGGGCCAACGAUAGAUGUAUUCAUGAUCAUUUGUUGAUAUGAUUGAUAUUAGGAUAAAUAAGUGAAUAUUGAACAAACUUGGACUUGUUUAGGGGUAUAAAAAUGGGGGAAUUUAUGUUCAGUAGGUCUAGGAUUCCUAUUGAGUGUGCCGACAUAUGUCACAUUAGUGAAACGUAUGUGUUCAAUUUAUGAGCACUCAUUCUGUCAUGUGUGUUUUCUUCGAAAUUUUGACUUCAUAUCAUAAAGAUUGGUUUGACAUGGCUAGCUUUGUCAGUUAGCCUGUGAACUGGGUUCAGAUGUGUGCACUUGACAUAUAUUCUGCAUAAAUAAGUGUUCCAUGCACUUGGACUUUUAAAGAUGUGAAUUUGAAAUCGUUAAGUGCUAUUGGAGGCUUCAUAACUUUAGGCAGAGGGAAGACUUGCCAAAUCUUUUCUUAUGUCAUAAGAGAACAUUCAGAUAUCGAGAAAGUGACUUUGAAUUGUAGUAUAGAAAUUGAACACAAAAUGUCUACUAUUGAAUAGACAUUUUGGCAUUUCUUGCUGCAUUGUGUUGAAUUGUAAAAUAAAUUAUUAAAGAAGGUUUCAUAGUCAUUUGUUAGGACUCUAGUUCUUGUUAGUCUAACUAAUAAGAAUGUACUGAUAUAUUUUGUGCUGAUGUCACUAGAAAUGUCUACAUUGAUAUAUGUGAUGUAUUAUUAUCUACCUUAAACCAUUUGAGGAUACUUGAUCAUUUAAAAAUGACUUGUAAAAUUAGGUCAAUCUCUUACAAAAAAAGUUCAGAAUUAAUUAGAUGUGCAACCACAAAUGUUUGUUCCUAGAAUUGUUUUUGUAACAUACUAAAUCGGCAGAUGUAGUCAAGACUUGGUUAAACAUCCAUACCUAAGUCUGCCGUUUGAGAUGAGCAAAAUAAAGUAUGUUUUAUUAAAAUUUGACUAGGCUCUGUUAUAUCUUUAUAACAUAUUUUAAAAGUCUAAGAAGACUUUGGGACUGUAAUAAGGGUUUUGCGUUUGUAGUUUGUUCUUUUGAAAGUUCAUUGUUGAAUUGUUUACUUUCAACGUACUUAUAACUAGUAAAUUAAUGCUUUGAUAUUAUUUUGUUGAAAAGCAGUUCCAAAUUGCCUUGUUUUAUGAAUAAAAAUGAGAACUCAUUUUUUUAAGAAACUUGCUGUUAGCAUUCCCAGGAGUUUCAAAUAUAAUAAUGCUUUGUUUAAAUAGCAGUUCUUAUUAAAUAAUAAAAAUGUAAACUGACAUGUAAUAUGAAUCUUUUAUCUAAAAAUAUUGAGAAUUAUACGAACUGAAAAUGUAUUAUAGUUAUUUUCUUUGUAGUACUUGUAUUACUAUUAUUGUUCAGUUUGGUGUAUUUUAUAUAAUUCUUAAUAAGCAUAGCAUUGCUUAAACAUUUUCUUUAAAUGAGAAUAUGUUCUUUUUAAAAUAACUAAGGAAAUUGAUACGCUGCAAUUUUACUACUUUCAUUUUUUUCCAAAAAAGCAAUGCUAUGUUUGAAAUUAUUAAUGCAAUAUAAAGAGAGAAAAAAGCAAAAAAAAAUGUUUUUAUUAAAUUGUAAAUAAAAAUGCUAAAAGAUGCACUCUUUUAAUGGAAAUUGUGGGAAUGCAAUGAAGAAAAUCGAUUCCCAGAUGUUGAAUAAUUUGUUACAAAUAUUUCAAAAGAAUGUUUGUUGAUCAAUUUUGAAUUGGCUUGUCAUAUAAUAUUAUCAUUAAGUACUUUCUAGAUUAAAGCUAGAUUAAGGUGCAAAUAUGAAUAUUUGUUUUACUACUCUAAUAUUGUGUGUUGCAAAUAUUGUGUGCAUAAAGUAGGUAUUUUCUAUAUAGCUUUUGUUAUUUGAAAAGUUUUGUGGCAGAUUCAUGUUUCUCUAUCAAUUUUUCUCAUGUUUUAAAAUGCUGGUAUUUUAAAUUUGUAAACCUUUUUGGAAUUACAAAAAACUGCAGCGCUCAUAAUGGAUGAAAUCUUUUAAUUUGAAAACAUUUCUAUCUUGAUUUGUUUUCUCUCAACCUUAAAUUGAAUUGUAUAAAUUCUUUUAUGGAAAAAUAUAACUUGAUACCAGUAUUUGAAUACCCAUUUGUCAUAUGUUUAUUCUUGCAUGUGUUUACCUAGGAGUAAUAUACCAUUAGUAAUCAAUGUAGUAUGUUUGUUGUCAGAAUAAGAAUUUCUAUUUAAAAAAAAGAAGAAACAAUGAUUAAGGAAUAACUUACCGUAUUAAGCAUUGGCAGAUAAUGUGAAAAUUGUUAAAACUCGAUUUGAUUAUUUCCUGUUGUUAUUGUUCAGAAUAUAAUAUCAACAGUUGUGCUCAUAAAACAAAUUUUGUCACUAUUGGGCGGCUAUAUUAAAAUUUUGACUUUUCAGCUUUACAGGAGUCUGAGCUUUAGUCAGUGUUAACAGUUUCAUCUUCACAUAAGCGUUUCUUUUUAAUUUGAUCAUGGGAAGCAAAACUAGUGUCCUUGACAUAUAAUUAAAAGCACAAAGUUUAAGAUGGAAAUAUGAAAAGUACUCAAGAAUUUAAUUUCGGGAAUAGUGAAAAUCUAAUAACCAAAAGAGGGGCCAUUUUAUGUGCAUGCAGUUAAUGUAGAUACUUAUAAUAUGAAGAAGAAAAGUGUUAUAUAAAAAAAGUGUUAAUAAGGUUUUGUGCACAGGCUAAUCAGGGACAACACUUAGCUAAAACUAGAUUUUCGGUAAAAAGGGACUUCCUUUAAACGAAAAAUACCAUUAAAGCGGAAAGUGUCGUCCCUGAUUAGCCUGUGCGCACUGCACAGGCUAAUCUGAGACGACACUUUACGCACAUGCAUUUUGCCCAAUUUUCACAGAACAAGACACAAUUGUACUUAUGUUGGUGUUUUGAGCUUUUGUUUUGUUCUUUCUCUGUGGUUUCACAAAAAACGUUUUUGCUUCAUAUGAUAGAGUCUUCGUGGUGUUUUAUGUAUUUAGCAAUAUAUACUUUGAGUAAACAAGUUAUUGUCAUGCUAUUAUGAAUAGUAAGGAAAAAUAUUGUUGAGGUGUAAUUGAACUUGCUAUCAUGGCUUCUAAUUUUUUUAAAGCCCAAAACUUUAUGAUGUAAAAUCUUGUUGGCAUAAUUUCUAUUAAAAAAACUUUAUUAACUGAUAUUUGAUUUGGAAAAACUUCAUAACUGUUUCAUGAGAAUUAACAAAAUCUGUUUUGGUUGACAUACUGAGAAGUUUAGAUGAUGAAAACUUGAUUUUAUAAAAUUGUUUAGUUUUUAUGCGACUGGGAGUAAAUAGCUUACACAUUGAUCAUAUAACAUGUAUAUCCCUUAUUUUCUUUUUAUUUCUUUUCCCCUUGCUUUGUUUAGUUAGGUUAUUCAGUAUCUUGUUUUUCUUUGUGUUUCAUGCAAACAAGAUGUCACGAGUAUCGUUUGCUGAUAACAGCUUUAGAGACUACAGUCAAUACUGGUAGUUGUCUGUUCACAAGAUUAAGUAUUUUACCUUAUCUCUGUCCACAGCAAAUUAGUAUCAGUUUUCAUUUAAUAAUAAUGCUCUGCGAAAAAUUGUUUGCGAAAUUUUGGUCAUUGAUUGUUCAUUUAGGACACCUUAAAAUGUUUAUUGUUAAGUUGAACAAUGUGCACUUUUAUUCAAUGGACAGAUAGGCUUAAUAGAAAUGCAGUCGAAAUAGUUUUCAGGGGACGUGAUUGGGGUUAGGUUCUUCCUCAGGCACAUGUGCAUUUGAUUUUUGAAACAGGUCAGAACUCAAAGGGAGGUAAUAUAAGUCUUGUAAUUUGGUACAUUUUGUUGUCAUUUGGGGAACAAAUUGUCCCAUCAAUCGUGUUUACCAGUCACUUGUCAGGAUUGUUAUGCCUUCAUCAUAUCCCUGACAAUUAAAAAAAAUUAACUGAAUACAAGAAUUAAGAUGUAGUUUAAAUUAUAAUCUUAAUAAAAUAUAAUUUUUCAAGAGAUUUCAAUAAUAAUUAUAAUGCAAAAUGAUGGAAUUGUUGGUUAGAGCUGGAAAUGUGGAGAACCGUUGGAGAGACGUUGUAUGGAACAGCUGUUAUUUUGAUUAAAUGUUGUUUUGGA